AGAGACAGCAGCAGCCGCGGUAAUACGGAGGGGGCUAGCGUUGUUCGGAAUUACUGGGCGUAAAGGGCGCGUAGGUGGUUAUUUAAGUGAGAUGUGAAAUCCCCGGGCUUAACCUGGGAACUGCAUCUUAUACUGGGUAACUGGAGUGCAGUAGAGGGUAGUGGAAUUUCCGGUGUAGCGGUGAAAUGCGUAGAUAUCGGAAGGAACACCAGUGGCGAAGGCGGCUACCUGGACUGAGACUGACACUGAGGCGCGAGAGCGUGGGGAGCAAACAGGAUUAGAUACCCGCGUAGUCCCUGUCUCUUAUAC
rnacentral:rRNA from 1 species